UUUAAAUACUUUUAGUUCACAUUUUUUAAUGUUUAAAAACUAUGUUAACAGAGCAGUUAUAGAACAGAACUUCUUAUAUUUCUUUAUUUACACCACACUCUGAAAAAAAAAACCCAGUUCUAUUUGAUUAACUAUGAAUAGCAAAGUUUUGUGACUUGUGACUCACUUAAAUCACCCAUCUGAAAUUCAUUUACAAGGUUUUUACAUUAAUAAAACAGUAGUGUGGUACAUGUAUUGGACUCAGAUGAAGUCUAAAGUACACUGGACUCUAGAGAGUGGAUUACAUACCAACGACCAAGAUUCAAGUGUUUGGGGAAAAAAAUACCUUAGACAGUCUAUGUUGGCGUCAACACUAAAAUAAAAGGCAAACAUGCAGGACUUUCAAAGCUUGAUUAGAUAAUGGUUCUUUGUUUUCUUUCCUUCAAAUUUGUGCUCAUAAUUAAUAUUCAGGUUCCCUCUCCCCGCUUUCAUAGAUCCCAAAGUUUGAGAAAUGCAGCAAUUCAAUUGUGAAAAAAACAUUCUUCUCCCCAGCUUCUGUUUUCAUAUGUACUGUGUAGUGGUAUCAGUGUUAAAAAUGGAAGAUCAUUAUGAAGAAACAAUUUGUCAUUUGGGUAUAUCUGUUUCUAUAGGACAAGGAUUUGUGUCUAAAUAUUCCUUACUUGUAUCUCAGAGGACUAUCUGUUAAAUAAUUGAUCUUAAUGCCAGCAUAAGAAAUCAAGGGAACUAUUUCUCAGACAUUUCUUUCUCUAAAUUAAGUAGGGUUUCAGGUUCCAAGUUUACAUUGAGAGAACUAUGUUACCUGGGAGAGAAUGUAAAUUUUUCUAAUUCCCAAACAAAACCACUAAUUUCUAGGAAACAUUUAUUGUUUAUAUGCAGAUCCUAGAGACUUCUAUUUCAGUGCAGAUCAACAACUUCAAAAAUAUACAGCCUCCUAUUUAUUUACAAUAAUAUUUACAUACAAAUGAAGUAUUUCCUGCAAUAAGCCUCAGCUGCAUAGAUUCUUCCUUUAAAAACGUAAAUUUGAGCCUGUAUACAGAUGGGCCCAGUUUCAUAGCCCUUCCUUAGAUAAAAGCCUAAAGAAGGAAAAUGUCUGCACCUUGUGAACUUUACAUAUUUUGCAAGAACUUUCUCUUUGAGAUUUAGUGAUAGUUUUUAGUUGUUAGACACCCCACCUUCAGCUUGUACCUGAAAGCUUUAUCUCGUUAUAAAUAAUUCACUGUAAUUUAGGGGAAGUAUGUCCUGUUGCUAAAGGAUUCUCAAACCUGCCAUCCCCAAGGAAAAUCAUGUAUUAGUAUUGCUAAAUGAUGGUCUGUAUAUUCUUUGUUUUGAAGGUGGCUAGAUGUUUGCUGUAAACUUGAAUGGGAGAAUUAUAUUCUUAAAGUUUACACCCCCUAUAAGCCUAAAGCCAUUUAAAUUGAUAAACUGAGAGAGACUAAUAGAUUUUGCUCUAAGGUAUAAAAUCCAUUAUCUGAUCAUAUUCCUGACCUCCCCCCGACUCCAACUAAAUGUGCCAUAGUCCAACACUGUGCCUCACUGAAUUGGAACUCAGUAUUUCAUUCUUUUGAGAGCAGUUUGUAGCUCCUUAAGCAGAGCAGACCUUUCAGUAGAGAAUUCGCUUUAAAAGGAGGACAGGAUUAUCACCACACGAUUAACACAAACACUGGAGAACUUCUGACACAAAUUCAGUAUUUCUUCUAAGUCUGCAUUUACAAAGGGUCUUUUAUUUUAAUUUCUUUCACAACUGCCUCGCCCCAACCAAAGCCUCACUUUCAUUUCCUCACAGCUUUAAAAAAUAAAAUAUUAUCAUGCCUCAGCCCGAGGUAACACCGAGUGCAGGCAGCCUGUGUUUAGGAAUUUGCACCUGCGCUGCUAUUUUCAACGAGAAGGGGAUAACCAGGUGGCAGCGCUGGAUUCACUCACUUUCUUGCCAUUGCAGAGACCCCUGCCGCCAGGCUCCUUUCCUCCCCUCCCUAAAGCCUGGCUCCUGUAUGUUGCACCAUGAGUCCUAGGAAUCAUCUGGUGAGGGAGGACUAAUGGGAAGUAAAAGGGAGACUCAUUGGCUUAGGGUGGUUCUCAAACUUGAUGCGCUUUAGAAUCAUUUGCUGAGUCCCUCCCUGAGAGCUUCUGACUUCACCAUGUCUGGGAGGGGGCUGAGAAUCUGCAUUCUAAUGAGGUCCCCGAUGAUGCUGAUGCUACUGGUCUAGGGGCCACACUUUGAGAACCACUGGCUUAGAGGCAUGAAUCAAGCUCUAGAAAGCAGUCAGUUCCAGGGUAAUAGUCUUAGGUGCUCGCCGAAGCACUGAGGAAUCUUACCACAACCCUGUGUCCACCACAAGCCCUAUCACCAUCACCCAUCUGGGUGCUUCUUUUUCUCAACAGGGUCUGUAACUGUAAAAAAGGAAAGUGGGUGGAGAGGUUUUUUUUUCCCCCUUUUUUCUUGUUUUCUAACCUCCCAGCUUAUUCCUGGAGAGUUAAAACACAGUUACUAGCACUAAAAACAUUAAAAGUGCUGCGCGCUGGCCUCAAUGACUGGUACAUUGGAGAAGCUAUGCAGCAGCAUCCUUUUCUGUGGUGGGCAGGGCAGGAGAUGAACCAUAGGAGCCAAAAGUCAGACAAACAGAAGAAGGCACACCAAGCCUGAACCCUCCGGACAACAGCAGAGUUACCAGCUGAGGGAUGUCCCUGGAGGUUUCUGACCCAUGAGAGGCCCCCUCACCCUCCUUCACCCUCCUCCUACCACCAAGCUCUCCAGCAGUCAUGGACUUAUUCCUCCCCGUUUUUACUGGACACCAUGUUUCAGGCCAAUCUGGUGAUAUUUGACGAAUUAUGGUAGGGUCUAUUAUAUUCAGUCAACAACAAAUUUAGAGAAACAUACAAAGGUUUUUAAAAAUAUGGGUGGUGUCACACAGAUCAACAACACUGUGCCUCCUCUAAAUAAAUCUAUUUUAAAUAAAUAUUCCUUGUAUUGACACAUGAAACCCAGAGGCCCAAAAAUAUCACUACACAUCCCAGUUAAUGAUAAGGUUCUAAAUUGACUUUGUGAGGGUAAAAUGAAUUGCUAUAAAGUAACAAGGAAAAUAGAAAGUAGCAUAAUAUAGCUUGCAAACUAAAUUAUGUAUUUUUAAAGGUACAGUCAUCCCACUACCUGGCUAUUUCAUUACUUGGUGCUCUAGACAAGCUCCCAAGAACUGACUGGAUCUUGGCUUGUUCUGUUUCUGUCAUUGCUAAUAUAAUAUGGAAAACAUUGCUGAAAAGAACAGAGAUGGCCAUGGAUAUGGCUAGGUUAGGUAUUCAUAUCCAAAUAUCUGAACUCUAACCUAAUGUGGAUAUGAUUCUGUAGCAUUAUAUUAAAAGCUAUGAUGAUGCAAUGCAGGAAAUAACCUUUCAUUCUCCCCCCUAGAGGAUCACGACAGGUGCUUCAAUGCCUGCCUUAUCUAUGGGACAGUAGUGUGAUUCUCAGUGAGAGUGAAGGCCUUUGGGGAUUUGAGUCAGGAAGGGAACAUGGCUAAGUGCCUGGAAACUCUGCCAACAGUCUGCGGUUAGAUUCUACUUGUCUCUGGAUAAGAAAUCUGUGCUCAGUGAACUUAUGUGUUUGGAAAAUUUAACCAGAAUAUAGAGGAAGCAUAAGUCCUGUUUCAAGAGACCAGCUCACGGAGCAUGCACAUUUCUCACCAUAGGCAAGCUAUGGACAAUUCAAUCACAUGGGAUGGCCCCACUUAGGGGAAUGCAGUUCUGGGUUUCCUUGCUAUCCCUAUUCUUUUUCAGCUACAAACUCUCUUCUUUUUCAGUCUCUUCAGUUUCCUUGUGCUCCCUUUAGGAGAGGGACAAGGGUAAGAGUACCAGGCAACUCUGUCCUCCUGCAUGGACAGUUGAGACGGGCAGUAAUGGCACAGUCCUUGGUUGGGGAAGAGAAGAGGAGACAGCACAGACACUGAGACCCCCUUGUCUUCCUCAUCUGGGGGAAGGAAGGUACUCAGUGAUUCUGUCAGAAGCUCUUCACAAAGACUAUCUCUGAGGGUUUUUUUUUUUUUUUUUUCACAAGACUAGAUGGAGAAUUAAUGAAGAAGAAAUAGAAAUGAGGCUUAUUUAAGGUACAAAAUUCUUGUAUUUGUAAUAACCUAGAUUUAUAGAUAUAAAACAAGUCUUUUAAAGACUUCCCUAAAAUACUCAAUAUAAAACAGGAGUUACUUAUCCU
rnacentral:lncRNA from 1 species